CUUAAUGAAAAUUCCCCCUCAAACAAGGCAUACUAGAAUGUAAAGACAUUCCUCCUUAUUUGAUGCAUAUUGCCUAAACUCAUCUUCUAUUUUGCAUUAGCAUAAAGAGAGUAUAUUAAGGCUACUUCCCUUUUUCGACAUUUCCUUGAAUAAAAUAGGAAAGGCAUUGAGGAAUAUGCAUGAUGAAGAUUGCUAGAAAAUUAUCAAGAC
rnacentral:lncRNA from 1 species